UACGUAGGGAGCAAGCGUUGUUCGGAUUUACUGGGCGUAAAGGGCGCGUAGGCGGCCUCUGCAAGUCGACUGUGAAAUCUCCGGGCUUAACCCGGAAAGGUCAGCCGAUACUGCAGGGCUAGAGUGCAGAAGGGGCAACUGGAAUUCUCGGUGUAGCGGUGAAACGCGUAGAUAUCGAGAGGAACACCUGCGGCGAAGGCGGGUUGCUGGGCUGACACUGACGCUGAGGCGCGAAAGCUAGGGGAGCGAACGGG
rnacentral:rRNA from 1 species